GAUGAACGCUAGCGGCAGGCUUAAUACAUGCAAGUCGUGGGGCAGCGCAGGUAGCAAUACUGGGCGGCGACCGGCAAACGGGUGCGGAACACGUACACAACCUUCCGAGAAGUGGGGAAUAGCCCAGAGAAAUUUGGAUUAAUACCCCGUAACAUAACGAUGUGGCAUCACAUUGUUAUUAUAGCUUCGGCGCUUCUUGAUGGGUGUGCGGCUGAUUAGAUAGUUGGCGGGGUAACGGCCCACCAAGUCUACGAUCAGUAGCUGAUGUGAGAGCAUGAUCAGCCACACGGGCACUGAGACACGGGCCCGACUCCUACGGGAGGCAGCAGUAAGGAAUAUUGGUCAAUGGACGCAAGUCUGAACCAGCCAUGCCGCGUGAAGGAUUAAAGGUCCUCUGGAUUGUAAACUUCUUUUAUCUGGGACGAAAAAAGGCGAUUCUUCGUCACUUGACGGUACCAGAUGAAUAAGCACCGGCUAACUCCGUGCCAGCAGCCG
rnacentral:rRNA from 1 species